rnacentral:ncRNA from 2 species
CCCGCCGAGGGGCGCUGCAAGCCCGGCCCGCGCAACGCGGACAAGGGAACAGGCUCGGCGAAGGUCACCCGUAACAACGGCGCCCGUUAAUG